rnacentral:SRP_RNA from 2 species
GCUGGGUGUGGUGGUGCAUGCCUGUGAUCCCAGCUACUGAGGAGGCUGAGGCAGGAGGAUCACUUGAGUCCAGGAGGUCAAGGCUGCAGUGAGCAGUGAUUGUGCCACUGCAUUCUGACCUGGGCCACAGAGUGAGACCCUGUCUCAG